rnacentral:rRNA from 1 species
UUAAAAAGCUCGUAGUUGGAUUUCUGCCAGGACACCGGUCCGCCCUCCGGGUGAGCUCUGGCUCGGCCUUGACAUCUUCUUGGUGAACGUAGCUGCACUUGACUGUGUGGUGCGGUACCCAGGACUUUUACUUUGAGGAAAUUAGAGUGUUUCAAGCAGGCAUACGCCUUGAAUACAUUAGCAUGGAAUAAUAAGAUAGGACCUUGGUUCUAUUUUGUUGGUUUCUAGAACUGAGGUAAUGAUUAAUAGGGAUAGUUGGGGGCAUUCGUAUUUAACUGUCAGAGGCGAAAUUCUUGGAUUUGUUAAAGACGGACUACUGCGAAAGCAUUUGCCAAGGAUGUUUUCAUUGAUCAAGAACGAAAAGUUAGGGGAUCGAAAGACGAUCGAUACCGUCCUAGUCUUAACCAUAAACCCUGCCGAACUAGAGAUUGGAGGUCGUUAUCUUUAC